rnacentral:rRNA from 1 species
CGCGCAGGCGGCGGUGCUGGCCCGGCGUGAAAGCCCCCGGCUCAACCGGGGAGAGUCGUCGGGGACCGCACCGCUUGAGGGCGGUAGGGGCCGGUGGAAUGCCUGGUGUAGUGGUGAAAUGCGUAGAGAUCAGGCAGAACACCUGGGGCGAAGGCGGCCGGCUGGGCCGUCCCUGACGCUGAGGCGCGAAGGCGUGGGGAGCGAACG